AACACGGUGACCGCCCCACUUGCCCCACCUAGUCCACCAGCUCCACCUGCUCAGUGAGAGGAGGUGCACCAUGGCUUGCCACAAGGUCACAACUGGUCCCUGGAGAGCCGCUGGUGGUGACGGGCUGCCUGUGCCCUCUCUGCGGCAAAACUCCACAAAUACUCCACUCACCAAGUUCCAGAGGGAGAGGAUCACCGGCCGUACUAAAGGAAGUGGCUCUAUGUAGGGAUGGAACAUGGCAACUGCACCA